rnacentral:rRNA from 1 species
GACGAACGCUGGCGGCGUGCUUAACACAUGCAAGUCGAGCGGAAAGGCCACUUCGGUGGUACUCGAGCGGCGAACGGGUGAGUAACACGUGAGUGAUCUACCCUUGGCUUUGGGAUAGCCACCGGAAACGGUGAUUAAUACCGGAUACGACCACUUCUCGCAUGGGAUGGUGGUGGAAAGUUUUUCGGCCAGGGAUGUGCUCGCGGCCUAUCAGCUUGAUAGGGAGGUAAUGGCUCACCAUGGCUUCGACGGGUAGCCGGCCGGAGAGGGUGACCGGUCACACUGGGACUGAGACACGGCCCAGACUCCUACGGGAGGCAGCAGUGGGGAAUAUUGGACAAAGGGCGGAAGCCUGAUCCAGCAACGCCGCGUGAGGGAUGACGGCCUUCGGGUUGUAAACCUCUUUCGGUGGGGACGAAGCGCAAGUGACGGUACCCACUAAAGAAGCACCGGCCAACUACGUGCCAGCCGCCGCCGUAACAC